UCGGAUUUGUAACGUCGUGGUGUAUGUUCAGAGAAGUUCAAAGCUUUUUAAAAAUACUUUUUUUGUGCAAUGAAAGGGUUCUAAACAGCUUUCCCAGUGUUGGACUGGAAAAAAAACAAGAAAAUCCCGAUGGGCUACUAGCGUCAUCCCCGAUCCCUGCUGGCGCUCACCCAGGCUGCAGAUCUCCGUUCCCUCACACGCUGAAGAUUCCUGGCUGCCUCCUCCACUCCUCUCAGAGCAACCGCUUGGUCACACUCCCCACUACUACAGCUGUUUCUUCUGGAAUAACAUCCACGAUUUCCCCUAUCUUAAAUAUGACCCAGUUCUGGCACUUAUAAUCCAGUGUAACUGUACUUUGUAUUGAUUUAUUGUUCUGCUGUAAAGCGCUGUGUAUAUAAGCAGCGCUAUAUAAUUAGAAAUAAACAUGCAUACCAGAAGGUU